AGUGAACGCUGGCGGCAGGCCUAACACAUGCAAGUCGAACGGCAGCACAGCAGUAGCAAUACUGUGGGUGGCGAGUGGCGGACGGGUGAGGAAUACAUCGGAAUCUGCCUUAUCGUGGGGGAUAACGUAGGGAAACUUACGCUAAUACCGCAUACGACCUACGGGUGAAAGCGGGGGAUCGCAAGACCUCGCGCGAUAAGAUGAGCCGAUGUCGGAUUAGCUGGUUGGCGGGGUAAAGGCCCACCAAGGCGACGAUCCGUAGCUGGUCUGAGAGGAUGAUCAGCCACACUGGAACUGAGACACGGUCCAGACUCCUACGGGAGGCAGCAGUGGGGAAUAUUGGACAAUGGGCGCAAGCCUGAUCCAGCCAUGCCGCGUGGGUGAAGAAGGCCUUCGGGUUGUAAAGCCCUUUUGUCCGGAAAGAAAAGCACUGGAUUAAUACUUCGGUGUUCUGACGGUACCGGAAGAAUAAGCACCGGCUAACUUCGUGCCAGCCGCCGCGGUAAAAC
rnacentral:rRNA from 1 species